rnacentral:rRNA from 1 species
CGGGAGGCAGCAGUGGGGAAUAUUGCACAAUGGGCGCAAGCCUGAUGCAGCCAUGCCGCGUGUAUGAAGAAGGCCUUCGGGUUGUAAAGUACUUUCAGCGGGGAGGAAGGCGACGGGGUUAAUAACCCUGUCGAUUGACGUUACCCGCAGAAGAAGCACCGGCUAACUCCGUGCCAGCAGCCGCGGUAAUACGGAGGGUGCAAGCGUUAAUCGGAAUUACUGGGCGUAAAGCGCACGCAGG